rnacentral:lncRNA from 1 species
GGCGAUAGAUGCUAAAACCAUCUCAUAUGAAGACUGAUGUUGAAAAUGCAUCUUCCAAAAGAUGCCCAGGCAACCACAUAGACUGGACUUUAUCACACCCCCUUCUGUCUACAUCUGGGUGGUAAGACCUGGAGCCCAGCAGUGACCUCAAGCCAGAAGAAGCCUCUCACCAAGAUCACUAGGAAGGUGACAUUUGUUUCUCCGUGCUUGCUGAGCUGGGAAAGUGGAUGCCUGGCUUUGAGAGUUUUGUUUUGUUUUGUUUUUUUGUAACGAGAAUUGAAACAUAAAGGAUUCUUUUCACAUCAUCAUGCAGCUCACAGAAAUAGAGCUUGGAAGAACUUCUCCAAAGUCUUUAGGCUUUGGUCCAUUGACCUUUUACUGUAACAAGCACAUCAGAAACCACAAAUAAAUUGGGGAAGAGGGUACACACUUCACCAAAAGAUUUGUGCUUGGCUAGACAGUCUCCCACAGUGCUUUUUCAAAUUGAGAGAAUUUCUGAUACAUUUGAAAUGGCAGCAUUCACUUGAAAGUGAGAUUUGUCUAUUCCAUUUAGAAAAAUCUGGUGAUGUGGACUUCGUUUUUUGAAAUCCUCGAAAGUCACAUCAUGUUAAAGCUGAAAGGGGCAGUGGAGUCUUCUCUCCUCACUUGAUAGGAGAUGACACAGCAGCCUGGAGAAAUGAAGUGACUUGGUCACUUCAGCUUUGUUUGCGGCAGGCCAUCCACUUUCCAGCUUUCUCCCUUAACUAGGCAUCUUCUUGGCAGCCCAACUACCCAAGCGUCCCUGGUGCACGACUGCGGCUCGGACAGUAGCCUGUUCCAUCCGCAGAGCAGCCAGUGACGCUGUGUCCCCACCCUUGACUUCCCAAUGAGGAAACUGAGGCUCAGGGCAUCAAGGGACCUGCCCAAGGCUGUAUUGAGCAAGGGGUGGAGCCAGCAUUUAAACCCAGACUGGUGGAGCCCAAAGCCUCGGCUUCUUUGGUAAAGGUGAGUGUCUGGCCACCCUGCGGCUCCUAGACCGUUCUGUGGUCCCCACUUCAUGCAGGACCCCCUUCUCAUUGGAGCCUCUCUCCUUGCUUUAAACCCCACCCACCUCCUUCCACACCCUAAAGGGAGCGCUCUCGCCCUUAAUGUGCCGUUUCAACGUCACCCAACCCCAGGCUGCUUGCUGUAGUUCAUUCGCCACCCCAUCCAUGGCCCAACCCAGACAUUCACUCUCCAGCCCAAGCAUCUUCCUGGUACUGCCUCACAGGGGAACAGAAAGGUCAAGGCGUGAAGUAAGAUGACAGAUGGAAAGAAAAGCCUCUCCCAGCCUGCAGAGCUCCGUGAAAUCCUUCAUUACGGGAUUUCCCUUGUCAGGGCGGCAAAGAGAAGCCUGAAGGCUCACGGCUAAAAUCUAUAGCACAUAAAGGCACCGAGCUCAUCACGGUGAAAACAUCAGACGAGGAGCCCCAUGGGCAAGGGCAGCAGGGUGAUGGGGACGGAGGAGGGGUGGGCGAGAGGAAAGAAAGAGGCAAAUGACCGGCCUCGUGAUUUCAUUUCCUGCCUGUUGGCACCCUGCCUGCUCUCUCUCCACGGAGACCCAAAGGUCUUUCGAAAAUGCAGCAGGAACGGCUUAGGCUAGACUCAAAGUAGACCCUAGAGACCUGAGGAUGGAUCAAGGCCCUCCUUCUCCGGAAACCUGCAAGACCAGGGUUCAGGCUCACCACUGGGAGAGUUCAGGGACAGGCUGGACCCAGUGACUUUGGUCCUGUGGUUCAGGGCUGGGCAGUUGUCUGUUACCUUGGGAGGGUGCUCCUCUCAAGCCUGUAGCAGGAUCAAGUCACUAAGUCCACACACGAAACCGCCAAGAGGCAGGCACGUCCUGGUCAAAGCCCAGGAACUCCUGUCUCGCGCUCACACGUGCGUGUCUGCUCCUCCUCUGCCUUCAUCCUCCCUAAACUUUCUAAUUUCCAUUACCCUCUGAAGCUUCCCACCGCGCCUAUGGAAAAACACAGAGAAAGCAUCUUUCAUUCUGGGUUUCCAUGUCGAUCAAAAGAUUUGCCCAGGACACAGAAAUCAUCACAGAGCAUGUGUUUCCAGCAAGUUGGGGCGAGAAGGGAGGAGGGCGGCUUCUGGUGCCUGGACGUGGCGAGGCUGCUCAAGAGUGAAUUACUUUCCCUCCACUGCUCCAUGUACUCCCCACAUGGGGCACCUCCAGGUUCUUUUAUGCAAAGGGAAGCCCUGAAAAGUGCAAAGACACUUCCGCUGUGACCUCUGUGCCCCCUGGAGAGGGCGUGGCAGUGCAACGUGGCCUGGGGAAUGCCAGCAACCCAGCCAUGAGACCUUGGGCCGGUCAUUUCACCCACUCUGGUCUGUGCUUCUCCUUUGACUGAAAGCAGUUAAUCUUAAUUAUCCCGCUUGCCUCCUGGGGAACUCAUGGGGAUCGAGUGAAAUAAAAUUUAGAA